rnacentral:pre_miRNA from 7 species
CGCCGCAGGAUGGCCGGGUAUUGUUGCUGCAGCUGGUGUUGUGAAUCAGGCCGACGGCAAGCGCUUCCUACUAUCCGGCUAUUUCACUACACCAGGGUUGCAUCAUACCACUCCCUUCGCUCGCCUCC